rnacentral:rRNA from 1 species
AGAUUAAGUUAUUAAGGGCGCACGGUGGAUGCCUUGGCACUAGAAGCCGAUGAAGGACGUUACUAACGACGAUAUGCUUUGGGGAGCUGUAAGUAAGCUUUGAUCCAGAGAUUUCCGAAUGGGGAAACCCAGCAUGAGUUAUGUCAUGUUAUCGAUAUGUGAAUACAUAGCAUAUCAGAAGGCACACCCGGAGAACUGAAACAUCUUAGUACCCGGAGGAAGAGAAAGAAAAUUCGAUUCCCUUAGUAGCGGCGAGCGAAACGGGAAGAGCCCAAACCAACAAGCUUGCUUGUUGGGGUUGUAGGACACUCUAUACGGAGUUACAAAGGACGACAUUAGACGAAUCAUCUGGAAAGAUGAAUCAAAGAAGGUAAUAAUCCUGUAGUCGAAAAUGUUGUCUCUCUUGAGUGGAUCCUGAGUACGACGGAGCACGUGGAAUUCCGUCGGAAUCUGGGAGGACCAUCUCCUAAGGCUAAAUACUCUCUAGUGACCGAUAGUGAACCAGUACCGUGAGGGAAAGGUGAAAAGCACCCCGGAAGGGGAGUGAAAUAGAACCUGAAACCGUGUGCUUACAAGUAGUCAGAGCCCGUUAAUGGGUGAUGGCGUGCCUUUUGUAGAAUGAACCGGCGAGUUACGAUUUGAUGCAAGGUUAAGCAGUAAAUGUGGAGCCGUAGCGAAAGCGAGUCUGAAUAGGGCGUUUAGUAUUUGGUCGUAGACCCGAAACCAGGUGAUCUACCCUUGGUCAGGUUGAAGUUCAGGUAACACUGAAUGGAGGACCGAACCGACUUACGUUGAAAAGUGAGCGGAUGAACUGAGGGUAGCGGAGAAAUUCCAAUCGAACCUGGAGAUAGCUGGUUCUCUCCGAAAUAGCUUUAGGGCUAGCCUCAAGUG